UACGUAGGGUGCAAGCGUUGUCCGGAAUUAUUGGGCGUAAAGAGCUCGUAGGCGGCUUGUUACGUCGGCUGUGAAAACCUGAGGCUCAACCUCGGGCCUGCAGUCGAUACGGGCAAGCUAGAAUUCGGUAGGGGAGACUGGAAUUCCUGGUGUAGCGGUGAAAUGCGCAGAUAUCAGGAGGAACACCGGUGGCGAAGGCGGGUCUCUGGGCCGAUAUUGACGCUGAGGAGCGAAAGCGUGGGGAGCAAACAGG
rnacentral:rRNA from 1 species